rnacentral:rRNA from 1 species
CGAGGGGAGUGAAAAAGAACCUGAAACCGUGUACGUACAAGCAGUGGGAGCACAGAGCAAUCUGUGUGACUGCGUACCUUUUGUAUAAUGGGUCAGCGACUUAUAUUCUGUAGCAAGGUUAACCGAAUAGGGGAGCCGAAGGGAAACCGAGUCUUAACUGGGCGUUAAGUUGCAGGGUAUAGACCCGAAACCCGGUGAUCUAGCCAUGGGCAGGUUGAAGGUUGGGUAACACUAACUGGAGGACCGAACCGACUAAUGUUGAAAAAUUAGCGGAUGACUUGUGGCUGGGGGUGAAAGGCCAAUCAAACCGGGAGAUAGCUGGUUCUCCCCGAAAGCUAUUUAGGUAGCGCCUCGUGAAUUCAUCUCCGGGGGUAGAGCACUGUUUCGGCAAGGGGGUCAUCCCGACUUACCAACCCGAUGCAAACUGCGAAUACCGGAGAAUGUUAUCACGGGAGACACACGGCGGGUGCUAACGUCCGUCGUGAAGAGGGAAACAACCCAGACCGCCAGCUAAGGUCCCAAAGUCAUGGUUAAGUGGGAAACGAUGUGGGAAGGCCCAGACAGCCAGGAUGUUGGCUUAGAAGCAGCCAUCAUUUAAAGAAAGCGUAAUAGCUCACUGGUCGAGUCGGCCUGCGCGGAAGAUGUAACGGGG